rnacentral:rRNA from 1 species
GAUGAACGCUAGCGGCAGGCUUAAUACAUGCAAGUCGAGGGGCAGCAUGUUCCGUAGCAAUACGGGAUGAUGGCGACCGGCAAACGGGUGCGGAACACGUACGCAACCUACCCAAAACUGAUGAAUAGCCCUCCGAAAGGAGGAUUAAUACAUCGUAACUUAAUGAAGUGGCAUCACUUUAUUAAUAUAGCUCCGGCGGUUUUGGAUGGGCGUGCGCCUGAUUAGGUUAGGNGGGUCGGGGUAACCGGGCCCACCAACGCCUGCGAUCAGUAACUGGUGUGAGAGCACGACCAGUCAC